rnacentral:lncRNA from 1 species
UUACAAUAAGUCAACCUAAGACUGAAAGAGAAAGUUCAUUUAUUCCCUGGUCAAGUAUUUGCCUUGUUCCUUCUGUGUACUCAACUUGAACAUUAGAAGAUUAAUGCCUACCUCGGUGUGAGAAGUGAAGGAGAUUGGUGGUUUCCAACUCGACUGGUAAGGUGACGUGAAUGAGAAAGGAAGGACAUCAUCAAGAGACAGUCACUUUGUCUCAAUUUGUGGGACAUAAGCAAGGCCCAAAAGGCAUGAAUCCUGAGAUAAAACAACAAGAUGAAUACUCCCCCUGCAGUCACCAAACAGCAUGUGUUCAAGAUGGGGUUUCAAAAUUUGGCCAUGCUAGUCUCAAACUCCUGACCUCAAGUGAUCCAC